AAAAAAGCUUCUUGACGGUUGUUUGGCUCGAGGUCGUGGGACAAAGGACCCUAGGGUGAAAUCACUCGGAACCAUCGCUUUAAGAAAGAAUGAAUAGGUUGUUAAAA